CGUAACUAUAACAGCGCAAGUUGUCUGGAGGCCCACUGCCUGGGGGGGGGGCAGAGGCAAGUAACAGGGCUGACUCCCCCAGCCGUGCAGCCACCUGGGCUUCCUUCAGUUGUAUUCAUCCUCUGAAAUUGAUCUUUGAUGUAGGAAACCCGAGGCAUGGAGGCAUUGACACCUGUGAUGAUGGUUGACAUGGUCAGCACCGUCGUGAUCCCUGAGGAUAUACAAUGAUCCAUUUGGAGAUAUUCACUUUGGAAACAAGUUGGUACUCUUGCAGGCACAGCUCUGCGGUCUAUCCAAAAGGAUACCCAAGAAAGCAUGACCAUCAGAGUGGCAGGGAAAUAGGUCUGGAGCAAGAAGAAGAAGAUAUGGCGGCGUAAAGUGAAGUUAAUGUAGAGUCGGUUGUACCAGCCUACAGGAAACAGAUGAAGAAGAUGACAUGAAAUAACUCCUCAGAAAAACUUCCUGUGAGAAAAUCAUGUAACCACCAUGGAGCAGACUGGUACUUAUACAAAACAGGCUGUAAAGUACCUUCCCAUCUGGCUGGACCCGAAGCAUGACAUUGUCAGUAGUGGUGUCAUGAAUAAAAGAUCGCUUGGAAUGCACAAAGAACAUGUCAGGAUUCCCACUGGGACACACUUCUAAACAACAAAACAUAAAUGAUACUGGAUGGAAUACAUCAUCAUCUUUAUUGUUACAGUCGUUCUGAUGUGUUUGAAUCCACAAAAGGUGAAAAUUGUGUAAGUGCUUAGUUAAUGUGUUUACCUUAAGGGAAGUUAGAGACAUUGUAAAGAUAAAGUGAUGUCUUAAGUUAGGAAACAGAAGUCUGUGGCUCAUGUUGAUAAGGCAUAUCCUGUUUUCUCAUUGUUGUGUGACAGAUGUUUAUUCGAGCUGUGUAAGCACUAUGCUAAGGUAUAAAGACCUAUUGAAACUGUAAUUCAGGGUCCUCAAUUUUGGUGAGAGAACCAUUGAGCACCGUACUAUCUGCAGUAGUGCA